UACGUAGGGAGCAAGCGUUGCUCGGAAUCACUGGGCGUAAAGCGGACGCAGGCGGGUCGAUAAGACCGUUGUGAAAUCCCGGGGCUCAACCCCGGAAAUGCGAUGGAGACUGCCGAUCUUGAGUACGGGAGAGGGGAGCGGAAUUCCUGGUGUAUAGGUGAAAUUCGUAGAUAUCAGGAGGAACACCGGUGGCGAAAGCGGCUCCCUGGCCCGAUACUGACGCUCAUGUACGAAAGCGUGGUGAGCAAACAGG
rnacentral:rRNA from 1 species